rnacentral:lncRNA from 1 species
AGGAAGUUUUCUUUAGCAUCUAAUGAUUUGGACCAAGACAAGCUCCCCUGCUCCUCCCUGCAUCCCACUCUGUUUGGCUCAGAGCAGGCCAUAAACCCUGGGACCAGAGCCAGGGAGCUGGCAUCAAACUGAAGUGAAGUACAGAGGCUGGGAGCCAAA